AUUGAACGCUGGCGGCAUGCCUUACACAUGCAAGUCGAACGGCAGGCACGGGAGCAAUCCUGGUGGCGAGUGGCGAACGGGUGAGUAAUGUAUCGGGAACGUACCUUUCAGUGGGGGAUAACGUAGCGAAAGUUACGCUAAUACCGCAUAUUCUGUGAGCAGGAAAGCAGGGGAUCGCAAGACCUUGCGCUGAUUGAGCGGCCGAUAUCAGAUUAGCUAGUUGGUGAGGUAAAGGCUCACCAAGGCGACGAUCUGUAGCGGGUCUGAGAGGAUGAUCCGCCACACUGGAACUGAGACACGGUCCAGACUCCUACGGGAGGCAGCAGUGGGGAAUUUGGACAAUGGGCGCAAGCCUGAUCCAGCCAUGCCGCGUGAGUGAAGAAGGCCUGGUGUAAG
rnacentral:rRNA from 1 species